rnacentral:rRNA from 1 species
UACGGGGGGGGCAAGCGUUGUUCGGAAUUACUGGGCGUAAAGGGCUCGUAGGUGGCCAACUAAGUCAGACGUGAAAUCCCUCGGUUUAACCGAGGAACUGCGUCUGAUACUGGAUGGCUUGAGAUUGGGAGAGGGAUGCGGAAUUCCAGGUGUAGCGGUGAAAUGCGUAGAUAUCUGGAGGAACACCGGUGGCGAAGGCGGCAUCCUGGACCAACACUGACACUGAGGAGCGAAAGCCAGGGGAGCAAACGGG